rnacentral:rRNA from 1 species
UACGUAGGGUGCAAGCGUUAAUCGGAAUUACUGGGCGUAAAGCGUACGCAGGCGGCUGUGCAAGACAGGUGUGAAAUCCCCGGGCCCAACCUGGGAACUGCAUUUGUGACUGCACAGCUGGAGUCCGUAAGAGGGGGGUGGAAUUCCACGUGUAGCAGUGAAAUGCGUAGAGAUGUGGAGGAACACCGAUGGCGAAGGCAGCCCCCUGGGAUGAGACUGACGCUCAUGUACGAAAGCGUGGGGAGCAAACAGG